GCGGCUAUUGAAAUGGUUGACUGUGCCAUGCCCCAGUUCUACUUGCAUCCAUUUAAAAGGGCUGUGCUGAAACUUCUGUGGUUGUACUGUAUAUGAAAAUAUUGACUGUUGUUCAUUCCCUAGAAGGAGCUAUCAAGUAGGACCACAGAGCUCAAAUUGAACACAAACACAUUAACAUUUGCCAUACAUCAAAGCUAACACUCUAGUGGCCCAGAGACAAUUUGAAAGUGAUUUCCAGUGGUCUGGCCUACAUGCAGGAAGGUUGGCAAGGAAAUAAAUGCAACAGAGAAAUGAAAGCAUUCAAGUCAGUUAGGAUUACUGUUGACACACGUAGCCUACUUUUUAAAAUAUAAGAUAAUGAUAUUUAUACCUUGUUUUCUUGAAAUCAAGUUGUCCUAACAAAAGUAUUCCAAAACAAGUGCAACAAACACGAUGUUUGAAAAAAAAAAAAAGCAGAAUUCCUUUUUUUCUGCGUCAAUUUGUGCUGAAUAGUGAGCCUCUUCAACAAAAUCUAUCUACAAAAUGAUUUAUGAUGUCUUUAUUCGAAUGAGAAUGAAUCCGCCAAUGACACCAUAAUUAUAACCGGAAAAUUAGGAUACCCACGAUGCUUAAUGCGAUAUAAUUUCCUGAACAUGAUUAAUCCGCGUGUGCAGAGGGGUGUUAUGUAUUCCAUUCUAUUUUUCAUUUCCAGUUUGUUUUGCUGCAAUUGCAAUUAAGUCACGAGUCUGGAGAGGAGAGGAGGCAACUGUGCGACGUUGAUGAGCGCAAGGGCGCGCAGUUCUAAAGGACAGGCGUCACGAGGGGCACAGGUUGCAUAUCAGGUGAGCUGCCUUGUGGGCAACUGUCCUUGUGCGCACGCCGACCACAAAAUAAGAUUACAAGAUCAUUACUGUUCAGCCCCUCUUUUUCUGAAAUGCUUUAAUUCAAUUAAAACACUUGUCUCCACUAAACUCAGGUUCAGGUCACAGGAGGACGUAGCCUAAUAAAUAUUUGGCCUCACACAUAUGCUUUCCAUCAUAUUUAUAUAACAAUAACCUAUUUGCUUAACGGGUACGUUAGAUAAACUGCCGAUAAUGAGGGUGGGUGAUUCCUAUGACUAACUUUCUUUUGCAAUAUUACUAUAAUGUGAGUGAAUUUGAUUAACUAGUCUAAUUCUUUUUGUUGUUUAUGAGCACGUCUAUCAACCAGUUUACAUUUGAAUCUGCUGCUAUACAUGUAUGACCAGUACAAUCAAGUACAGCCAUGUUUAUUAUUAUAGCUAUUUCAUCACAUUUUCAACAUCUCUGCAACACAUGAAGGAGCCAGCCAAAAUGUAGUCUACCAUAGGCUAUGUCAACAGAUCUUGACCGUAGGUUAGGCUACCGUUCAUUUGAAAAUGGCCACCAAAUCUCACGCCAUUCUACGAGACCGCUGGCUGUGAAAUGCGAGUCACUCAUUCAAUUAAAUUCUAAACAUUCUUUUUCAUUAGUAGUCAGUGAAGUUUGGAAGACUCAAUCUUUUCCCUCCCUGUUCCUCCUGUCAUUCUCCUCCGCGAGGGCUGAGACAUAGAGGCUGACGCGGAUAGAACGCUCAAACCAGUUCUCAGGGGACACACAACUUCAAAGAGGACCAAAAACCACACAACGAGUGCACUUUAAGCAAGCGCCAGUCUGACAAGAGAACAAUACAAGUAUGAAUGUCAUUUUUGUCAAACCAAGCUGAACACUGACACAAAUUCUUAAAACAUUCGAGGAAGUGGAGAAACAAGGGGUGCACCUUGUCGCACUUUAGAAGACCUCCACAGAAUUUCAAUCUGUGCACCCAGAAAGGCAGACUUUUAUCCAACUUCUUCAAACGCCGCCUAUAUUUUUAAGUAAGUAAAAGGUUGUUGCAUCAUGCCCGCGUUCUUUGCAAUUGCACAGGUUUGGAACUCUUCAGUGAAUCACAGGAUAACUGUCAUCAUUUCCACGAUUAUGUUCAAAACUUAAGUCAUCAGCUUUAUGA
ensembl:lncRNA